UACGGAGGGUGCAAACGUUGCUCGGAAUUAUUGGCGUAAAGCGCACGUAGGCGGCUCCUCAAGUCGGAUGUGAAAGCCCUGGGCUCAACUCAGGAAGUGCAUCCGAAACUGUGGAGCUUGAAUGCCGGAGGGGCCCAGAGAAUUCCCGGUGUAGAGGUGAAAUUCGUAGAUAUCGGGAGGAAUACCAGUGGCGAAGGCGCUGGGCUGGACGGUCAUUGACGCUGAGGUGGCGAAAGCGUGGGGAGCAAACAGG
rnacentral:rRNA from 1 species